rnacentral:rRNA from 1 species
UACGGAGGGUGCAAGCGUUGUUCGGAAUGACUGGGCGUAAAGCGCACGUAGGCGGGUCCGAAAGUCGGAUGUGAAAUCCCCAGGCUUAACCUGGGAACUGCACCCGAAACUCCGGAUCUUGAAUGCUUGAGAGGUUGGUGGAAUUCCAGGUGUAGGAGUGAAAUCCGUAGAUAUCUGGAGGAACACCGGAGGCGAAGGCGGCCAACUGGCAAUGCAUUGACGCUGAGGUGCGAAAGCGUGGGGAGCAAACAGG